GCUGAGGACGUCCUCGCAGUAAACAGAAUUUGAGUACCUCAACGUGAUGAUGAUCGAGACAGGACAAUAGUGCAGCUGAUCAAGGAUAGUACAGCACCUUGGUCCUACUGGUUAACAAGUUUAGGCUUAGUUCACUACCGAGGGUUGCAGGUCCCACCCGUACCACCGCCAACCUCUCACCAAGAUUUACUGACCCCGGCGGCAACACCAUUCGAACUGGAGAUCAGCAGGACAGCAACAAUGGGAGGAUUCUGUCAGAAUACAAGCAUUGGUUCACACGCAUUUCCUUGGAUGGUAAGGAACGUGCAAAAACAUUGAGAGCAUGAGGGCAUGAUGAAGGACUGCGAUG